UGAUGAUGAUGAUGAUGAUGAUGAUGAUGAUGCUGAUAAUGAGUACAAAAUCUAUCUAACAAUGUAGUAGUUAGUAUUUCGGAUGAUCAUCAUCAUCAUCAUCAUCAUGCAGUCACA
rnacentral:miRNA from 1 species